GACGAACGCUGGCGGCGUGCCUAAUACAUGCAAGUAGAACGCAGUUGCGACAGGGUGAGUAACGCGUAGGUAACUGCCUGGUAGCGGGGGAUAACUAUUGGAAACGAUAGCUAAUACCGCAUACUACCAGAUGGACCUGCGUUGUAUUAGAUAGUUGGUGCGGUACCGGCGCACCAAGGCAACGAUACAUAGCCGACUGGGGAGGGGGAUCGGCCAAACGUGGAAUUGGACACGGCCCAGAAUCCUACGGGAGGCAGCAGUAGGGAAUCUUCGUGAAUGGGGGGAAACCUGACCGAGCAACGCCGCGUGAGUGAAGAAGGUUUUCGGAUCGGAAAGCUCUGGUGUUAAGGAAGCGUUACUUAACCAGAAAGGGACGGCUAACUACGUGCCAGCAGCCGCGGUAAUUC
rnacentral:rRNA from 1 species